rnacentral:rRNA from 1 species
UACGAAGGGUGCAAACGUUGCUCGGAAUUAUUGGGCGUAAAGCGCACGUAGGCGGCUUAGCAAGUCGGAAGUGAAAGCCCUCGGCUCAACCAAGGAAGUGCUUCGAAACUGCUGAGCUUGAGUAGUUAAGAGGAUCGCGGAAUUCCCGGUGUAGAGGUGAAAUGCGCAGAGUAUCGGGAGGAACACCGGUGGCGAAGGCGGUUCUCUGGGCCUUACCUGGACGCUGAGGAGCGAAAGCGUGGGGAGCGAACAGG